rnacentral:tRNA from 1 species
CGCGGAGUAGAGGAAACGGUACCUCGCCGGGUUCAUACCCCGGAGGUUGCGGGUUCGAGUCCCGCCUCCGCUA